GACGAACGCUGGCGGCGUGCUUAACACAUGCAAGUCGAGCGGUAAGGCCCUUUCGGGGGUACACGAGCGGCGAACGGGUGAGUAAAAUGUGGGUAAUCUAGCUUUCAGAGGGGGAUAACCCGGGGAAACCUGGGCUAAAACCGCGUAACAUAUUGGGGGUUUAAGGACCCUAAUAUCAAAACAUGGCCUCUAUUUAUAAGCUAUGGCUGAGAGAUGAGCCCACAUCCUAUCACGCUUGUUGGUGGGGUAACGCCCACCAAGGCGACGACGGGUAGCCGGCCUGAGAGGGUGUCCGGCCACACUGGAACUGAGACACGGCCCAGACUCCUACGGGAGGCAGCAGUGGGGAAUCUUGCGCAAUGGGCGAAAGCCUGACGCAGCGACGCCGCGUGAGGGAUGACGGCCU
rnacentral:rRNA from 1 species